UUCUACUCGAUAAUCCCAAAGGAAAUUAUCAUUGAGAGUGAUUUGUUGGUUUCUCAGCACGACUGUAAUAGUUAGUUAGCUACUAAACAAUUUAUUAAACAGUUAACUGUAAAUUGUAGACUUUCGAAAAUUACAAAAUAAUGACCGGUACAUAAUGUGAUAAUAGUUAACUUUACAAAUCCCUCUGUUAAAAAUGAAAACCUAAAAUGUUAACGUAAAAAACUAAUUAAAGUGAAGAGUAUACCAUUUAUUUGGAAUCGGUGGGAAAUGUAUCGAAUUAACACGAGGAACGAAUAAGGGUUAAAAUACAAUCUCCAAGUGAUCGAAACAAAGGUAAACCGAGUCCAAUUGUGCACCGUACGGAGACACAGCAUGCGACAUAGGAACAAUCGGAAUUUCAACUUACUUUGUGCGGAGUGUCGCUACUCGAACGGGGCACCGACGCCGACGUGAAACAGCUGUUGUAGAUGAGAAUCGUCUUACAGACGACAAAUGAAUAACCAGAUUAUCGGUUCGAACGUGAGGUAUAUCUGACGAGCGGUCGAGUCAGUUCGCAUUCGUGAAUAAUCUUCAGUCGGCUGCCGCGUGAUGGCCGCGUGUUCCAAUGGGAACGGUGUUAUUCCAUUUCUGUGCAGAUUUCAGCGGUAUCGGUUGCUGGACGGGAAUUAAAUUGCACGCACGAACUGUCUCUCGUCCCGAUUUAAAAACAUUACUGAUAUCGUAAACUAACAUUUUUGCUGCUUUAUGCGUCAUCUCUGCGAUUUCUUUAACGCGUUCAGUGCCGAAUGCCAUCUCCGCAAAAUUCCUAUAAUAUUAAAUUCAUUCAAUCGAUGAAAUCGUUUACAAGUAAGUUCAAAUGCACCAUAGUAUCCUUCCGCGUUCCAAAAAUCCUAGUAACAUUCAAUUCCUUCGAAUGUAUUGCAAUAAAAAUGGAUUCCAGAACCCGAUUCAGGUUAGUUGAUUUUCAUUUGAUUUUAGAAAUUAUUCGAACAGUUUCUUCGAACUUCGUACAGGUGUGAUUGCAUGUGCAUACCGUCGAAAAUAAUAGCCAUGCUCUUAUAUUAACUUAAGGAAUAGACAAGAAAGAUCUGACAGGGACUAUAGUGCGAAGUACAGUAAAAUAUCUUCGUUUUGCAGUUUCUAUCUGCACUAACAACCUCUGAAAGUUUGACGCGUUAUUAUCAAUGAAACCGCUUAUCUUCGACGUAUGCAGAGAGUUUUGCAAACGGACGAAAGUCCCACCGACCAAUGGAUAUUUAAUUAUGGCCGAUGAAGACCUCAUCCGGGCGCACCACUCAUCCGUCAGAAAUUCUCCUUGGAAUAUCAGCUCGUAUUUUCAUUCUGGUUCCUCGAUGAUGGACACUUUCGAUCUUCAAAGUCCCUGAAAAAGCCAUAAUGUUCCGUUAGUAAAGUUUCAUUGGUUAGAGAAUUUUGCGCUAUUUAUUGAUAUAUUAUUAAUGAUAUAAUUAAUUAAUAUUAAUGAUAUAAUAUUAUGAAUUACUUUUAAUAAUCUACAGAAGAGUAUUUAUGUACACUAAAUGUAUACAUUUUCAGCGAUUUUUAUUGUUUUGCCACACCUACCUUAUAUUUAGUUUAGAUUAGAUUUAUUAUCAUCCUUGUUACAAAAAAUUGAAGUAUUUACAUCUUAUUAUAUGUUACACCUAGCUCAUUUCCUUUUACAAUUUUAGUGGUUGUGUUUACUUUAUAAUUAUUACAUGUACUAUAUAUAGGCGUCCCUGAAAGAUAUUUACAAAAGCGGGCAAGAUAUGAGAAAAAUACAGAAUAACAUUUUUCGUUUGGGGCAUAAUUUUCGAGAAAAUUCUGUUUGAAAAUUCGCUUUGUAGAUACGCGCUCUCGGCUAAGACACGAUUCGUAUAAAACAUUUGUACUUCGUGUGCAACAACAAGGAGAACUGUCGCAUUUUACAUUGUUUAUAAACAUGGUAUGCGUACGUACAAAGCAAAUGUUUCAAACUCGAUUUACUCGAGUACCAGGCCACAAACGAGAAAACGUUAUCCCGCAAUUUUUUCAUAUUUUUUUAUGAGAGAUUACCUGAUGUCUGCUUCUACAUAUCUCUCAGGGACGCCCUGUAUAUUCGUCGUUGUCGCACUUGUUAUCGUACAUUAACUGUCAAAUUCAGGGUUACGUAAAUUUAGCAAUAGUAUAUCCAAUUAGUCAACAUGGUUUUAUCGUAUCACUGUGGUUCGUAGAAAAAGUCACCAAAAUUGCGGUUCGUCACUUGUCGUAUUUCUGUAUUACUUUUGCGACAGAAAAAUUUUCCUUCAAGAUUACAAAAUAAUUUCCACGAAGCUAUCAAAUUAUGAACAAGAUCAAUUCAAUUCAUUUGCCUUUUAAAUGUCAAUGUUCUUAAUCUAAUUUUAUAAAUAUUUUCACGAUGCCAGACACAGUAAUGCUUUAUACAUUAAAUCUUCACAUUUCACAGAUUCAGGAUUUAAGAUGUAUUUUAGAGCUAAUAAUAUCCAUUACAAAUGCAACGAUUGCUGGAUACACAAGAUGAAGGAGGAAGAGUAGUAUAAAAAGAUACAAAAUGCUACAGCACACGUCGUAAAGCAAAACUUGUUAUCGAACUUCUGUAUAUAAUUUAGUCUAUGGUUACGUGUUUGCAUCAAAUUGAAAAAAAAGCAGAACAAAGAAUUUAAUAGUUCUCUUUACUUAAUAAUUAAGUAUUAAUAAUAACAAAAAGCAAAUUAAUCUUUAUUUAACAAUUUUACCAUUAUUUUUAUUUAAUAUUACAAGUUGGAAAUGUAUCGACAAUUCUAAAUUCUCUGAAUCCUCCUAUCGUUUUAAAUUUUGAUAUUUGUUCUUAUCACGUUCUUAUCACAUUUGUUCCUACAAUUCCAGCAAUUCUAUUAAUCCGAUAUAAAAAGUUCAGUUUUCCUCGUCCAUUAUGAAUUUCAUCUAAUCUGUAUCAACGAGUGCACCGCAAAAUACCAUCCGAUGCUGAGCGGAAAGAAAAAGCCUCGCCUGUUUAAAAAGAACUGAUUUGUAAUGUCACAGCUGGUGUUCAUUAAUUGUAGAUUACCAAUUAAGUUCCAUCAAAGAGCCGGCACAAGUUGGUCGCGUUUCGCUGUGUGAGUGUAUACGCUUUGUGAGGACUAGCUGUGAUAUCUACAAACGUGAGAUGAAACGAAAUAAAUUUUAUGCCUUUGAUCUCACGACUAAGAGUUGCGAAAUGCGCGGAGAUAAAAAGCUGUGAGUAACGUAGCAAAAGCGAAACAGUGAAACGAAAACCGAGGACGAGCCGAGGAGGAAAAGAUUAUAAAAAUUCAGAAGAAACUAAAUAAUUAGCAUGUAAUAAAAUGGUCUUGUUGAUAUGCUUUAACCCAUUUCGUUUUUAUUGCCGAACUAAAAAUACCUUUUCUUCACGAUCGCCAAUUGUUUAAUGAAAUGAUUGUAAUUGGAGCUGCUUAAUAAAAUUAACAUACUUUUUA